CUGGCUGUCAGGGACGAAAGCAAAAAAAUCUUCAAAAACAGAAGCAAGUGCAACAGUCAAAGUCUCCAGAAGAAUUGUGGCAGAUUCACAAAGACGCUUAGAAGUUUUUUUUUUUUAAAAACAACAACAACAACAACAACAAAAAAACAAUUUCCUUAAAAACUCUUUAUUAUACCUAUAAAAAAUACCCAUAAUGCUCCUCCUCAGUCAGCCAAAUGUUUUGAUGUGUCACAUCUAUACUGUGGUAGAUUUUUGAUUCCAGCUAUUUUGGUUGUUAAUGUGCACCUGACCACUUUAAAAUACCCACAAUGCAAUUUGCUGCUCUUUGUAGAGGUUUUUUUAUGUAUAAAAUGGUUAACCUCAUUACUUUUGAAGGCAUCUCUGUUUUACAACAAUUAUUUACAUGUGCCUAAUACUUCUGCACAGCACUCAAUGUAUUUGUAAAUUGUAUUUUAAAAAUGUGUUAGAGUACAAAUAGUGAGCCAAACAAUGUCUUCUGGGCCAAGUGUGACAACUUUUAGGACAAUCAUAAACUACAGGAUAAUUCUAGGGAAUAAGCGUUGUUUACAGUUUUUGUUGAACUUGUUUAACCACUAUAUACUCACUAGAAUGAAUAAAAUCAUUGUUCUUGAAUUCACGAUCAUAAGCCUCAUCUUCUGGCUUACCCUCAGCUGUUGCUUUUCUGUUUUGUAAUUUGCUGCAAUCCUCCAGCCUGACUGAACUCAUCUUUAAUUGAGCCUGUAAUGUUUGCUGGUCUCCAUCAAACCUGCUGGAUUUACCUGAAAAACAUUUUCAAAAGAAGAAACGGUCGCUAAAGCAACAUCACCUUUUACCAAGUUUACCACGAAACUGGACAUUUCAUUCACAAACUAUAGCUUAUUUAGUCCAUGUGGUCACCACCCUAACGUAUCAUUGGACUGUAUCAGUUUCCCAAAACCGUGGAUGCUGUAUCAGUGGCCUUGAUUUGCCAAGUGGAUCAUGCUGUAGUGAACCACACAGAACCCACCCAGGGUUUGCCGGCAACACGCCUGAAAACCUCACCUGUUAGACAGUUACGACAUCAGAUCAGUGGGCCCUGAUGACCUUGUUGCAGGAGUACAGACUCUAAUUCCACCAGCCCUGCCAAUUUCAUACCCUGAGAAAGUUGCUGGUUCUGACUAAAGAACUUUGUUCCCUCUUGAACUGAUUGAAAAAGUACACCCUGUCAUUCAGAACAAGGUGUUUUCUUGUUGAUAUUAGAAAACUGAAAUGAUUCCUGAAAUGGUUCUUUCCCUUUUGCAUGUCAAAGUUGAUCGACAUUAAUGCCGUGCAGCCACAAGACUGCGUCACUCGGUGAACCCACACAUUUAUACAUUUCCAUGUUCGCACUUCUGGAGAACAGGGAUUCUUCUUGUUGUUCGCCUUCCUGGAACAGGCAUACCAGUUCAGGGUUCUGCCCGUGGGGCUACAGACAGCUCAAAGGGUAUUCUUGACAUGCAUGCAGGCUACCUUAUCAAUCAUAAGACUACCCUGUCUAUCCUCAUGAGCCUUGGAAUUUGUAACGCAGUGGUUUUCUUCCUACCCGGAGGGACGCUCAUAUCAGCUCAAACUCAAACUCAUACAUGCCCGGAGACACAUCUCUUUGUCAAGAUCUUUGUGAUCUACCUGGACAACUUGCAGAACUCACCACCUGGCACUGCAUAAAACCUUUCGGUAGCCAAGGACAACCAACUUUGCCAAAAAAAAAAAAAAAAGUGCAAGGAUCUAACUUGGCUUCCAAUGC
ensembl:lncRNA